CUACGGGUCGCUCCAGUGAGGAAUAUUGCACAAUGGGGGGAACCCUGAUGCAGCAACGCCGCGUGGAGGAUGACGCAUUUCGGUGUGUAAACUCCUUUUAUAUGCCAAGAAAAUGACGGUAGCAUAUGAAUAAGCACCGGCUAACUCCGUGCCAGCAGCCGCGGUAAUACGGAGGGUGCAAGCGUGUACUCGGAAUCACUGGGCGUAAAGGACGCGUAGGCGGGUUGGAAAGUCAGGUGUGAAAUCCUACAGCUUAACUGUAGAACUGCACUUGAAACUUCUAAUCUAGAGUAUGGGAGGGGGAGAUGGAAUUAGUGGUGUAGGGGUAAAAUCCGUAGAUAUCACUAGGAAUACCUAAAGCGAAGGCGAUCUCCUGGAACAUUACUGACGCUAAGGCGUGAAAGCGUGGGGAGCAAACAGGAUUAGAUACCCUUGUAGUC
rnacentral:rRNA from 1 species